UACGUAGGGGGCUAGCGUUGUCCGGAUUUAUUGGGCGUAAAGAGCGCGUAGGCGGCCAGGUAGGUCUGGUGUGAAAACUCGAGGCUUAACCUCGAGAUGUCAUCGGAAACCAUCUGGCUAGAGUCCGGAAGAGGAGAGUGGAAUUCCUGGUGUAGCGGUGAAAUGCGCAGAUAUCAGGAAGAACACCCAUAGCGAAGGCAGCUUGCUGGGACGUUACUGACGCUAAGGCGCGAAAGCGUGGGGAGCGAACAGG
rnacentral:rRNA from 1 species